rnacentral:rRNA from 1 species
GAAUUAAAUAAUUUAUUUUUAGAAUUUUUAUUUAUUAAAUUUUUAAUAAAAAUAUUUUUUUGUUUUUUUAUAAUUUUAGAUAAAAUUGAAUUUUAUUAUAGAUAAAUAGUAUAGUGAUAGAAUAUUUAAAUAUUUGAAAUAAAUAAAAUAUUUAAAAGAAAAUUUUAAUUAUUGUACCUUGUGUAUCAGGGUUUAUUAAAUAAAAAUUAUAUAGUAUAAUUUUCUCGAAUUUAAAAGAGCUAAAAAAUUAUAAAUUUUAUUGUAGCAUAAAUAUUUAUAAUAAUUUUUUAGUAAUGAAACGUUAGUCGUUUUUAAAUUUAUCUAGUUUUUUAAGAAAUAAAUUUAAUUUAGUUAUUUAUUAUUUAAUGAAAAUAAUUUAUUAUUAAAAUUAAUAUAAAUAAUUAAUAUUUUAAGGGAUAAGCUUUAAAAUAAAUAAUUGAUAAAUAUUUAUUUUAUAUUUUUAAAAUUUAUAGGAGUGGAAGUAUUUUAUUUUUAUAGUGUUUUAUAACAAAUUUUAUUAAAAAUAUGAUUUAUAUAUUAUUUUCAAUUUUUUAUUAAAAUUAUUGAUUUAAUAAAAUAAUCAAUGUAAUAAUGAUAAAAUUAGUAUAAUUUAAUGUUUAAGAAAUUUAAUUUAUAAAGGUUAAAUUAAGGAACUCGGCAAACUAUUUUUCCGCCUGUUUAUUAAAAACAUGUCUUUUUGAUAAUAAUUUAAAGUCUGACCUGCCCUAUGAUAUUUAUAUUAAAUGGCCGCGAUAGUUUGAUCGUGCAAAGGUAGCAUAAUCAUUAGUUUUUUAAUUGGGAACUGGUAUGAAAGGUCGAACGAGAAAAAGACUGUCUCAGUUUAAUUUUAUUAGAAUUUUAUUUUUAAGUAAGAACGCUUAAAUAAUUUUAAAAGACGAGAAGACCCUAUAGAGUUUUAUAUUUAUUAAUUUUAGGGAGAAUUUUAGAAUUUAUCUCUUUUUAUUUUUAAUAAAUAUUUGGUUGGGGCGAUUAAAAAAUUUAAUAAACUUUUUUUAAAUGUAUUACAUUGAUAUAUGAUUAAGUGAUCCAUAAAUUAUGAUUAAAAGAUUAAAUUACCUUAGGGAUAACAGCGUUAUUUUUUUUGAGAGUUCUUAUCGAAAAAAAAGUUUGCGACCUCGAUGUUGGAUUAAAAUUUACUUUUGGUGUAGGGGCUAAAUAAGUUAGGUCUGUUCGACCUUUAAAAUUUUACAUGAUCUGAGUUUAAACCGGUGUAAGCCAGGUUGGUUUCUAUCUUUAAAAAAUAAAAAUAUUUUAGUACGAAAGGAUUAAGUAUUUUUAAUAAUUAAUUUAAUAAGACUAUUAAUAAGUUUAAUGAUUACUUUGGCAGAUUAGUGUUU